AUCUCGGAGUAUGAAACUUAUACAAGUGAUACUUCAGGAUAAUAUUAUGGAGUUUGAAACUUUUUGUCCUCGGUAUUUAAAAUAUGAAACUAAACUCCAGGACAGUGAUUUGGUCAAAUGCAAUGACAAUUUGCAGUGUCAAAUGCCAAUGAGAAUUUGCAGUUCUGCCAAAUACCAAUGGCAUAUAAGAGAAGUUAGUUGAGAAGGACCCAGGGCAAAUUGGGGAGUCUAAUGCUCCAAUAGAUUUCACAAAUUUGGUCUCAUCUAAAAUCUUCAUCUUCUUCUUCCUGAUAGCCUAUUCCAAAGUUGCUUCUCUUUCUCACUUUCCUUGUGUUUUUUGUGCUUCUUCUGUAUCUGCAUCUCUAUUUAGUAUUUAGUCAUUUAUGGUUACUUUUGAUUCCUUUAAGUGUUGCAUCUUGAUGUGGACCAAAUAAUAGAAGGUAUCAAACUGCGGAUUGGAUUUUUCUUUUUGAAUUCAAUGAGAAGAAACUACUGGACUCUGCUCUCUCCUCUACCCCCUUUCAAGAUGUCUUGGAAAAUCUGAAGUGGACCAUGCGCUCAACGUGUUUGAUGAUAUGUCUGGCACCGGAAAACUUGAGUUUUUACUAUGGCCAUCGUCAAUUGCGCCUUACCUGCUUAUAUACAUUCUUGCUCUCUCUUACUAAGGAGUAUAUACAUAUACUACUGUUGUAUAUUCCUAAAAGUGAAUAUUCGUGAAAAUCAUCGGGUCAUUGGUCCCUAUUUUGUGUUGGUCUUUAAUUUUUUCCCUUCAAAUGGGCUGGUCUUUAAUUUGUGCCUUCUAAAAUAAAACUUAUGUCUAGAGAGCCAUAAAUUACGCAUCAUAAUAUCCACAAGUUAUGUCCGCGCUCUAAAAAAUUUAUGGCUUAAAAACCAAUCCAUUUGAAGGGUAAACCUUACAAUUACUUCAAUAUCAUCCAUGUUAUUAGUUCAGUAUAUCAUAGUGUGGGUAAAUGCCCUCCAAUUG